UACGUAGGGUGCAAGCGUUGUCCGGAAUUAUUGGGCGUAAAGAGCUCGUAGGCGGCUUGUCGCGUCGGCUGUGAAAACCCGGGGCUCAACCCCGGGCCUGCAGCCGAUACGAGCAGACUAGAGUUCGGCAGGGGAGACUGGAAUUCCUGGUGUAGCGGUGAAAUGCGCAGAUAUCAGGAGGAACACCGGUGGCGAAGGCGGGUCUCUGGGCCGAAACUGACGCUGAGGAGCGAAAGCGUGGGGAGCGAACAGG
rnacentral:rRNA from 1 species